GACGAACGCUGGCGGCGUGCUUAACACAUGCAAGUCGAACGGAAAGGCCCUGCUCUUGUGGGGUUCUCGAGUGGCGAACGGGUGAGUAACACGUGAGUAACCUGCCCUUGACUUUGGGAUAACUUCAGGAAACUGGGGCUCAUACCGGAUAGGAGCUCCUGCUGCAUGGUGGGGGUUGGAAAGUUUCGGCGGUUGGGUAUGGACUCGCGGCUUAUCAGCUUGUUGGGGGGGUAGUGGCUUACCAAGCCUUUGACGGGUAGCCGGCCUGGGAGGGUGACCGGCCACAUUGGGACUGAGAUACGGCCCAGACUCCUACGGGAGGCAGCAGUGGGGAAUAUUGCACAAUGGGCGGAAGCCUGAUGCAGCAACGCCGCGUGCGGGAUGACGGCCUUCGGGUUGUAAACCGCUUUCGCCUGUGACGAAGCGUGAGUGACGGUAAUGGGUAAAGAAGCACCGGCUAACUACGUG
rnacentral:rRNA from 1 species